rnacentral:rRNA from 1 species
UACGGGGGGGGUAAGCGUUGUUCGGAAUUACUGGGCGUAAAGGGCUCGUAGGCGGCUGUUCAAGUCGAACGUGAAAACUCGGAGCUCAACUCCGAGCCUGCGUUCGAUACUGGACGGCUAGAGUCUGGUAGGGGGAUCUGGAAUUCCUGGUGUAGCGGUGGAAUGCGCAGAUAUCAGGAGGAACACCGGUGGCGAAGGCGGGAUCCUGGGCCAGUACUGACGCUGAGGAGCGAAAGCGUGGGGAGCAAACAGG